UACGUAGGGUGCAAGCGUUAAUCGGAAUUACUAGGCGUAAAGCGUGCGCAGGCGGUUUUGUAAGUCUGUCGUGAAAGCCCCGGGCUCAACCUGGGAAUUGCGAUGGAGACUGCAAGGCUUGAAUCUGGCAGAGGGGGGUAGAAUUCCACGUGUAGCAGUGAAAUGCGUAGAGAUGUGGAGGAACACCGAUGGCGAAGGCAGCCCCCUGGGCUAAGAUUGACGCUCAUGCACGAAAGCGUGGGGAGCAAACAGG
rnacentral:rRNA from 1 species